CCAUCGCGAUGAAUGUUUGCGAACCAGGUCAGGACAGGAAUGUAGCAGCCUUAAGUAUUAUGUUCAUGUGCGGUGGUUUC
rnacentral:SRP_RNA from 1 species